rnacentral:rRNA from 1 species
CCUACGGGGGGCAGCAGUGAGGAAUAUUGGUCAAUGGGCGCAAGCCUGAACCAGCCAUCCCGCGUGAAGGAUGAAUGUACUAUGUAUUGUAAACUUCUUUUCUGCAAAGAGAAAGGGCACUACGUGUAGUGUUUUGACGGUAUUGCAGGAAUAAGCAUCGGCUAACUCCGUGCCAGCAGCCGCGGUAAUACGGAGGAUGCGAGCGUUAUCCGGAUUCAUUGGGUUUAAAGGGUGCGUAGGCGGUUUUUUAAGUCAGUGGUGAAAUCCUGCGGCUCAACCGUAGAACUGCCAUUGAAACUGAAGAACUUGAAUAUAGUUGAGGUAGGCGGAAUGUCCAGUGUAGCGGUGAAAUGCUUAGAUAUUGCACAGAACACCGAUUGCGAAGGCAGCUUACCAAGCUAUUAUUGACGCUGAGGCACGAAAGCGUGGGGAUCGAACAGGAUUAGAUACCCGAGUAGUC